UACGAAGGGGGCUAGCGUUGUUCGGAAUUACUGGGCGUAAAGCGCGUGUAGGCGGGUCUUUAAGUCAGGGGUGAAAUGCCAAGGCUCAACCUUGGAACUGCCUUUGAUACUGGAGACCUUGAGUCCGGGAGAGGUGAGUGAUGAUCGAGUGUAGAGGUGAAAUUCGUAGAUAUCGCAAGAACACCAGUGGCGAAGGCGGCUCACUGGCC
rnacentral:rRNA from 1 species